CUUAAGGUUUUAAUAAGCGUCUACUAGGGAGAAGUUUCCACAACCUUAUAAGAAAUGUUUCGUUCCCCUCUCCAACCAUUAUGAGAUCUUACAAUCUACCUCUCUUGGAGGCCAGCGUCCUAGUUGGCACACCAUUCGAUGUCUGGCUCUAUACCAUUUGUAACAGCCCAAGUCUAACAAAUAUUGUCUUAUUUGAGCUUUUUCAGGAAAAGGUUUUCAACCAAUGUGAGAUUUCACAUACCGAAAUUUCAAUACACAGGACAAACAAAAGUAGCGGGUACCAAAAUUAUAGGAAACCCAAUGGUCUGUCACCUCUGGAAAUCCAGUUCAUCAUAAGCUAGCUUUAUUUGACAAGCUUGGCCUGAAGUCAGUCUGCCAAAAGUGUCACAUGGGUUUUUCAGGUUAUCGUCCAUUCCCGCAGCAGGUGUAGGGUUUUUGUGUUGUGGGUAUCUUUCCCGUAGUCCUAUGAGGAAGUCUUGCUAUCAAUCACAUGGCUGGUUGUGAUCGGAAGAAUCGUAAGCUAAGGAAUUUGGAGAUGAAAGCUUGGGAAAGAUGUGUUGUUGAAUGCUGGGUUUCUUUUUUUUGUCAUUAAAGAGUUAUUGGUAAUUGCUAACACAGAGUGGUGAGUGUGAAGAAACGACACGAGGGGCCUGCGUGUAUUAAGUGGUAGAAACUAAGAGAGUGGAUGGUUUUGGCUGUUAAUUCCCACCUUUUCAUGGGGGGGCCUUUUCUUUCUACCAUUAGUCCCCACAGCCUACAGAACUGCUUGUUGAUCUGCUAGACAUGUUUGUUCGCAAUAAUGGAGAUCAUGGAAAGCUGAGGUUAUCAGAUAAUGGAUCCAUCUCCCUCAACUCAACUUUGUCUGAAACGCUGAAUGCUAUCGCUUCGGCGUUCCAAGUAGAAAGAAAAAAUGGAUGUGGUUGAUUCUUCUCACCAAUUAUCUCGACGAGUUGAAACAUUAGACUCUUGACCAAAGAUAUCUGUAACAGUCUAAGUACACCGCUGGCAUAUAUUGUCAUCUUUGGACUUUCCCCUUAAAAUGCAUCUGCUAGGGAGGAAUUUCAAUA